rnacentral:lncRNA from 1 species
GCUUGUUGUACUAAGAGAUACUGAACGCUCAUGCUGCUCGUUCCAGUGUCUUUUGUUGGCACUGUUUUAGUUUGGCCACUGUGGUUCUUUCGUCACCUACAGAACACUAAACAGUGGAAGAUGUCAGUUCUUGGGAGACGAAGCAACUGGUUCAUCGAUUGUGAUUGUCUUCAAGGAAACAUCUGUUACAGGGAAUUUGGGUUGCUUACGCUCAGUAGUUUCAUGAAGAAGAAAGAAUCCGAUGACUGUCAUCAGUCUCGAGGGUGAAGAAGGCAUAUGCCGUAGGAUUCCAAGGAGGACUAAGCGAGCAACAAGAUGGUUGCAGUCACUUCACGUCUCAAGUCAUUGGAGGCACGCGAAGAGAGAGGACAAGGACAAAGCGUGCCCCGCCAUUCUCUCAAUUCCAAGGUCUGCUGCUGCGCUUGUCACUCUCGCUGGCGUACAGUAUUGGUGAGGGGGGACGCCUUUGCCUCCGGAAGAGGCCAAACAAGAGUCACAUCAGAGAGACUGGUAGUGCAUCCCAUGACUCGUUUGAUGAUAUUCCCAAACGUGGUUCUUGAAGAACAAAAGGAAUGUGCCACUGAUUUAGAUUGAGGUGUUCCUCCCCACUGAUCCAAAUGAUCUUGUUUCCCAUUCUUUUCUAUUUUUUAAUCUAAUAAAAAAUAUAUUGUGGG